UUUGGUUCUCUAUAAUUGGCGCUUCCCGUUUUCAAUUUGUUUCCCUUCAACUUUUUUUCAUCUUCCAUUUCGUUUCUCUGUUUCUCUCUCUCUCUCUCUCGCUCGCUCUGCAAUUUCCUUAUCGUAUUCAGUACAAUCUCUCUAGCCAAGAGCACUGGAAGAACCGAGAGUGAAAGGAGAGGGGCAGUUCUGGCCGGACUUAGUACCAUAGCCGUUCGACUCGGCGGCUGUGGAGGCGGAUUUUGGUACCGGAGGAAAAAGAAGAGGCGGAGCCAGAAAAGGACCAAAGUUAAGCUUCGGUUUAUGGAGCUUUGGCAUAAGAUGGUUUUCCCUGUCCGACGAGUUUGGCUCGCUGUUUCCGCUCGAGUUAGGGCUCGGAAGAACGGAGGUGGGCUUUUGAAGAAGCUCCAUGAUGAUGUAGAAACCUGUGGGUAUGAAGAUGUGAAGGUGAUGUGGGAAAUGUUGCGUCGAUCGGAGUCGGAGCUGCUCGGUCAACC